AAAGACAUGCCUGAAAAAAAGGAUUAAUCUGAUAGAAUAAAUCAAGCAAUUAUAAUUGUCUUUA
rnacentral:tRNA from 1 species